GUGACCUUGUCUCCCAGAUUCUUUCUUUACAGAAACUCCUUUGCUCAAGUUUCCAGAAAGCAAAGUGUGUCUUUUUUUGCCCCAAUCGGAGCCCAAGGAGUCUGUCUGGCAAGUGAAGUACUGGACCGUGCAGGGUAAAAGGCAGCCUCCAGAUCCCAGAGCGCUGGCGCUCUUGAUAGUGUGUUCUUGUGCCUUUUCAUUGAUUUUGUAGGAUCCAAUGCAGCAAAACGCCUUGAGCUUUUGUAAUCCUAGGAGAGUCCUGAUUUAUAUAAGUGUGUGUUGGCCAGAGUAUCGCUCUAAACUACAAAUUGGGAAGCGAGGAUUGGAUCGGUGCUUGAAGUGUCCAAGUAAGUGUGCAAGUUGGAAGAAUUGGGCUUGUAUGGGAAACUUUCCAUACAGCUCACUGUAAAAACUUGACUCAAGGUGAAGAGCUCCUGUGGUUGAUCAUUGACAUGGCUUUAUGCCUUCAAAUACUUUGCAUUGAACCCCAUUGUGUAAAAUGGAGGGGUUGGGCGGGGUGGUGUUAUGUGUGGAACAGCUUUCUUGUGCUUUUUCAGAUUCUGCUCCAUCCACCCUCGGUUUGAUUUCUGAACACAGAUCUAAUACUUGGAUGCUCUUGAGUGAAUGAUCCACCGCGUGUGCGAUUUGUGUCCAGUGGAAACCCCUUCAAGAGAUCUCUCUCUCUCUCUCCGUUAGCGCUUCUGUGUUUGUUUUGUGUGUUUUCUUGAUUUGGUUUAACAGGUGGAAACCAACCCAAAAGCUUUAAAUGAAAUUCUUGUUCUUAAGACUUAUCCCAUCUUCGACAUGGAGACAGUAAGAAUUGGGUUCUCUUAAAUUUCAAAAAAUUCCUGUGUGAAUCGUGAUGGGUCUUUGAAUGGGGUGUUUUGGGGGAGGAAACCUCUUAGUUAUUUUAUUCCAGACACCUUCACGAACUCGCCCCUCUCUGCAUCUCCUAAAGGCGUUUUCUGCAGUUGCUCGUUCUGUGCAGUUAAGUACACAUCUCCUAUAACAUGCAACCCCCAGCGCUGUGUCUUGCUAAUGUGCUGAGUGUUUAAAAUGUGCAAACCAAAGCUUUUUGUCUAAUGACGCACAUCCUGCAUGUUCCACUUGAUUCUCUCCCAUGAGAAUGCAGUUAUUUACUGUGUGGGGUAUCGCAGGGGUUUGGAGAAAUCAAAGCCAAUCUGUAACUAAAGAGAACUACCUUCUAAAUGUGGGCUUUUAAAAUGGCUUGGGGGGGGGGGAGAUUAACACACUUGUUUGGGGUGGGUGGGAAUGUGGUGCAACUCUCUCUAUAUACUUUUUCACAGAUGUGUCCAUGAUCACAGUACCAAGGUUAUAAGCCAGUCCAGGAAGAGGCGUAGCGGGAGGCACCCCUGGUGGAGUUCUCUCCCUUUCUCUGUUCAGUUAACAGGUCUUCAGAAAUGCGUUCCUAUGGGUCCCUAGUAUAAUCCCAAGAGUAAAGCUGAACCUCUAUCCAAGACUGCGUUGUCUGAGUGGAGUUAUUCGUUGCUGGUGGGGAGCGUGUCUCUGUUUUUGUCCAGGUUGCUUUUUACAGACUCUUCCAAUGCCUGUAUCUCCUCUUCCCCCUCGUAUUGCUGCAACGAAACGAGUUUUGUGAAGGACCCGUUUGUGGGGAUAAAAGCACCCAGUGUGUAAGUUUCCUGAAGUCUUAUUGAGCUGCUUCCUAAACUCUAGAGCGGAAUUGAAAAAUGUAAAGGGGUUUCAAGUGAUGUGAAUUUUAUAUUGCAAGUGUUGGAUGACUGUUCUGUCUCUCAAUACACAUGUAACUUCCUGAAAUUGGAAAGUUUUUCAUGUAGUCACAAUUUGAAGCUUAGAUAUUUCAAAGACUAGGGCAAGUCUUGCCGUGAAAGUAAUUUGGGGGGGGGGGGGGGGGGGGGUAGUUGGUUUUGGGAGGGAGCAACUGGGGUUUGUAGGUUGAUUUUUCAGAUUUGCUCCCAGCGACACCAGCCCAACGCAGACCGAAAAGGAAACCCUUAAAGACUCUUCUCUCUCCUGAGCGUGGCUUUCAUUUGCCUCUCCGAAUUCAUUGCUAUACGCCAGGUUUGAUUUUUACAUCUUGCUAGUCUAGCCAGAGUGGAAUUAAAACGACAGCUGACUGUCCCCGUACUGUAAAUGGAUUAUUCAGAUACUUUUUGAAUGAGUUGCAUGUUUAAGCAGUUUGCAUUUCUUGUAUAAUUGGUAGAUUUUGUGCAGGAAAGUCAUUUGAUGGCAUAGGGGAGGGGGAGGGGUGCCAAACCACUUCUUAGAUUUCUUCCAACAGCUUCUGUGAAAAGAAUCAACGCCGAGAAACACGGGGGGUCCCAAAUACACACGCCAACUGCAAGGGAAUCAAGUGUUCAACAGGACUACCGGUUUGAAAGAUUAACCUAUUUUUUUAGGAACUUUUUCAAAUUGCAAUUUUGUUUUGAUAUUGAAUAGACGUUGCUGAACCAUGCAGUGCUGGUUCACUUCUGACGGCUCGAUCCUUUCUUAAAUUUCAAGCUUGUAUGGGAAACUUUCCAUAUAGCUGUUUGUGUUUUAAAGGGCUGUUGAGUGAUGUCUUGUUUGUAUCCGAACCUUGUGUGCGUGGCAGUGUGCUUUUCUCUUUUGAGGAAUCCGACACACCAAAGCGAAGUGGAUGAAAGGCUCUGUGCUGGUGUUACGUAAGGCUUUCCAAAGCGUUUUUAUUAAAUUUCUGGAUUGAAAUUCAAAUUUGGGCGAGGGUGGGGGUACACAACCUUUCUGUGUAGCUCUUCCAGGUAUACAGUGACACGACGAGGCGUGGAGGAUACACAGUCACCUACAAUACUGCGUAAGGCUUUAUCAAGCAUUUAUUUAAUAUUCAAAUAUUGGGGUUUGGGACAAUGGGGAGGGGAGGGUGGAUACACAACCUCUCUAGUUUUUCCAGGACCCCUUGGUCUGAAACGACAGAAUAAAGACACCAGGACUGGAGGGAGGAACUGCUUCAAUUGCGUAAGGGCUUGUUUUCAAUAUUACAAUUCAAAUAUAAUAAAGUUUUGGUGGUGGGGGGGGAAUACACAACUUCUCUGUAGUUCUUUCAGAUCCUUGCAGAAUAACAAGACUCCAGAGUGGCGAGAAACUGAGCUUCAGUGUUGCACAAGGGUUUGUCGAUGACUCUGCUGAAAUGUGUGAAAUGAAGCGACCUGGGAAUGCUGUGCUGGAACUGAGAGAUUGAAACGCUGCUGGAGAUGAACUCGGAUAUAGGACUGGACUGGAAGGGUUUGACUGGCUGACGUCACUGGGAAGCUGUGGACCUCCAGAUGUUGGAAGAGGUGUCCACUUGAUGCGUUUCAUUUGUAUUGUAACCUGAAUUUGUAUUAAUAAAUGAACUUGAUGUUGUA